UACGUAGGGUGCAAGCGUUGUCCGGAAUUAUUGGGCGUAAAGAGCUCGUAGGCGGUUUGUUGCGUCGGCUGUGAAAUCCCGAGGCUCAACCUCGGGUCUGCAGUCGAUACGAGCAAACUAGAGUGUUGCAGGGGAGACUGGAAUUCCUGGUGUAGCAGUGAAAUGCGUAGAGAUCGUAAGGAAGACCAGUGGCGAAGGCGAGUUUCUGGACGGUAACUGACGCUGAGGCACGAAGGCCAGGGGAGCAAACGGG
rnacentral:rRNA from 1 species